UACAGAGGUGGCAAGCGUUGUUCGGAAUUACUGGGCGUAAAGGGCGCGUAGGCGGCCAUCUAAGUCAGACGUGAAAUCCCCCGGCUUAACCUGGGAACUGCGUCUGAUACUGGAAGGCUUGAGUAUGGGAGAGGGAUGUAGAAUUCCAGGUGUAGCGGUGAAAUGCGUAGAUAUCCGGAGGAAUACCGGUGGCGAAGGCGGCAUCCUGGACCAUUACUGACGCUGAGGAGCGAAAGCGUGGGGAGCGAACAGG
rnacentral:rRNA from 1 species